CGUGUAUUAUACUUCUUCAGAACCCUGAAAGAAUAAUCAGAGGGUGUGAGUUCUAUUCUAUCCAAGAGCAUAGAGAAGGAUCUCGAAUUCCCUGUGCUCCAGUUGACUGAGUUAAGCAACCCAUGAUCUCCUUUUUUAUAGAACGGAUGCCAUCCUAGCAGCCCUUCAGAGAGGUGCCAUGUAGUCAAGUAUUGGUAUAGGUUUAUGCUGACUUUCCCUUAAUACGUACGGUUUGGCCUCAGGUGAUGAGGUUCUGAAUCCGAGGUGGCAGGCAGGAGGAGCGCCAAGAAAGGGGCAUAUCUGAGAGAGUGAGAGCAUCUGCAAGCCUAAAACUGAGAGGACUGGACACAGAGGGAUGAGAUGGUGAAGAAUCCAGGAUGACUCCUGGGCUGGGAACCUGAGGGUCUGAGAAGAGGAUAUUGUCCUCUAUGCAUUGGUCCUGCCUGGGUCAAGGGGAAAUCAAGUAAUUUACUUGAAAACACAGCUCCUAAUAGAAUGAACUGCUUCAAAAGCAGCCUAUGGCUGGAGAUCUUCAAGCAGAGACUUGUCUAAUAAGUUGUAGAAAGAAUUUCUCUUUCAGGUAAUAGUUUAAACGAUAUAACCUCUAAGAUCCCUCCCAACUCUGAAAUAACUCUGCAGAUGAAACAGUCCCACUUUUGAGUCUCCUCCCUGUGUAGAGGACAAGACAGUAGGAGCUGCUCUCAGAAACGGAAGUGAAAACUUCAACGUUUCAUCAGACCUUUUGUUGGCAAAAGCAUUUUAUCUGUCAUCAGCUUUCCAAAGAUACCAUGUUAAGCAGCAAUUAGAAAAAAAUCUUUCCAACCUCAGAGAAUAUUUUGAUAAUAGGAAACUAUAAAGAUGGAAAAUGGACAAUUCCACAGAGGCAAGUUCUCCUAGACACACUCACUCAGAAGAGAGGAACAACCUUUGGAAAGAGAAAGAAAAAAAUACACACAUAAGAAAAUCAUCAUAAUGAUAAUAGUAGAGAAAGUGCUGGUUUUUAUCAAAAUAAAAGGAGGGGGGAUUGAAGCAAUCAAAUUUGUGAGAAGAUGAUGAGAUAACAGGGGCAGCUAGAUGGCACCGUGGAUAGAGUCCUGAAGUCAGAAAGACUCAUGGAGAGAGAGACAGAGAGAUAGAGAUAGACAGACAGACAGACAGACAGACAGACAGAGAGUCUUUCCCCUACUGGACUGUAAGCUCUUUGAGGGCAGGAGUUAUCUUGCUUUUUUUUUUUAACCCUUACCUUCCGUCUUGGAGUCAAUACUGUGUAUUGGCUCCAAGGUAGAAGAGUGGGCUAGACAAUGGGGGUCAAGUGACUUGCCCAGGGUCCCACAGCUGGGAAGUGUCUGAGGCCAAAUUUGAACCCAGGACCCCCAUCUCUAGGUCUGGCUCUCAAUCCACUGAGCCACCCAGCUGCCUCCUCUUGCUUUUGUAUUUAUAUCCAACAAGACUCAGGAUGGAGUUUGCCACAUAGGAACCACUUUAGGCUUUUGAAUUUAUUCAUUCAUGAGAAAUGAGAGAAACAAAGUCAAUUGCUAAACAUUUAUUAAGCAUUUACUCUCUGCUGGGCAAUUUGCUAAGUGGUGAGUUCAAAAGACCAGGGUUCAAACCCUUGGUUUAGUUGCUUAUGACGACUUAUGACAAAGGGGCAAUUCUUUUCCCUUCUCUGGGCCUCAGUAUUUCCAAUUAUAAAAUAAAGAGGUUUAAGGAGAUGGCUAAGUUCCACUUCAGUUCUAUAUUUGUGAUCCUUUAGAGGAAUUGAACAAAAUGGUUUCCAAGGUCCUCUCCAGUCUCACUCUUUUGAUCCUAAUAUAGCGUCAGAAUUGAUUGCAGUGCUUUUAUAUCAAAACCCAUUGGGGCAGCAUAAAAAUAGCUGCUUUCCAUGCCAAGAAAACCCCAAAUGGGAUCAUGAAGAGUUAGAUACGAUUGAAAUGACUAAACAACAACAUUUUCUAAAUAUCCUUUAUGUUCAUCUCUUUCUUUCAAUCUAGGGAAAGUCACACUGGCUUUGGCUCAGCUUUUUUUUACAGAGAAAUCUCUCAGCAAUGUAAGCAAUAUUAUUUUCUACAGGAAUUCUUUCUAUAAUAACAACAGCUUCUCGGGCUGGUGCCUUCUUACCUUGUGUUUUGGGAUGUUGGAUAGUUCUUUGUUCAAUGAGGAAAGUCUAUAUCUCAAAAUCCACAGGGUCAUCGGAUAAAAGGAAAAGUUUCCCUGUGGGAACAACAUGAAAUAAUAACUUGGAGGAAUUUUUAA